UGAGGAUCCUCCCAGUUUCAAACUGAGCAGGGCCUGCUCCACUAUGUGAAGCUUCAUGGAUGCUCAAAGACGGGCCUAAUCAGAAGGAGGAGGCAAAUGAGAUCACAGAUAAAACUGCCAGGGAUGGAGGUAUCUGGGUGAGAAAGGUAGUCCAUAAUGGAUACAAGAAAGCAAGAAAAGAAAGUGGAGAAGACUGGACACCUGCCUCGGAUCGUCCUAAGGGCCCCCUGCAGCUUACAGCACAUAUCAAGAUGAGCACAACUCCCUGGUCCCUGAGGGAGAGGGGAUUGCAGAAGAGGCCGCUGGCAUAUGUGUAUGAGGAGGGCUGACCUGGCAGCAAGACAAUCCUGCUGAGCCAAAGGGCUUUAAUCAGGAGGAAACACUGAAAAAUGGAAUCAGAGCUAAGAAACCCUUGGCCUAGCCUGAUGGCUUGUGGAGGAUGGGAUGAGGCCAAACACAGCGCAGUCCUUCCGAAGCAAGAGUUCUGCGCUGACAAGCCGGAACACUGAUGGAGCAGGGAACAAGGAGCCGGCUUCU